CCGGCUCUGCAAACAUAGACCCUCAGCCGAGAUGUCUCACCCCACUCUCUCUGAUGCAACAAGAAGCCCCUGGGGAACGUUUCAGUCCCACUCUGUACUUCUGUCACAUGCUCAUCACAGUCUGAGCCACCUAAGCUGAAGAUUCCCUUGAGAACAAGGGCUAGCCUGUGAUUUCGUGACCUUUCUUCCAUUUGUGGUUCUUGCCAAGUGGAAUUUAAAUGACCUUUUAUCAAGAUGGAUAAACCCAAGUUUCCCAGUGCCAGAAUAUAGAAAAUGGAUGGAUAAGUAAGUCCCACUCAGCACCCAUAGCCCAGACAUGGGGACCUCAACACACCUGGGUCCCAGACAUCACCUUUCAUUGUGAGUAGCUCAGAGAUGACAUUCUUGGUUGUUAAGUACCCACUGGCAAUAGUUUAUAUAACAGCAAGUGAAGAAAUAAAUAGUCACCAAAACAUUUUCUGUUCCCAAUUCCAGCAUUAAUUGGAUUAGAUAGUUAUCUUAUGAAGAAUUUUCAUAUACCACAGUCCUGACCAUAUGUUCAAGUCAACAGAAAAAUUCUAUUAAACAGUCAACCUUCUGUCUCACUCUGUUGCCCAGACUGGAGUGCAGUGGUGCAAUUAUGGCUCACUGCAGGCUCAAGCAAUCCUCCUGACUCAGCCUCACAAGUAGCUGGGACUACAGGUGCUUGUCACCACACCUCACUAAUUUUCUCAUUUUAUAUAUAUAUAUAUAUCUCAAUACCCCAGGACUGACUGGAAAACUUGAGUAUGUGUGGAUUUUGGUAUACAUAGAAAUGGAGGAGCUGGAACCAAUCCCCCCAUAUACCAAGGGACAAAUUGUAUCUGUUUUUACAGUUAUACUGUAGGAUACAUUAUGUUCCAUGACAAUGGUAAUUUUUAGUGACAAUUUUUAAUUGAGUGGAAUUACCAUAAAAAUAAUAAAAGUAGCAGCUAAUAUUUACUGAGCUGUUAUGAGAUCCCUAUAAAUACCAUAGAUUUUUAAAUUCCCCGUAACUCUUCCUUAUUUCACUUAACCACUUUAUCUUAAAUUACUCAUGCUUGCUUCGGUAGCACAUAUACUAAAGUUGGAACAAUAGAGAGAUUGGCAUGGCCUCUGUGCAAGAAUGACAUGCAAAUUUGUGAAGCAUUCCAUAUUUUU
rnacentral:lncRNA from 1 species